rnacentral:lncRNA from 10 species
GCCUCUUCCAGGCCUGGUGCGUAAGUCUACCCCACACAGUCCUUUGCGAUUUUCCUCUCCCACUUUGGGAGCCAGUGGAUGAAGAGGGUGGAACCAUAGAAUAGAAGGAACCCAGAUACAGAUCACUGUUCAGAGGAGAGCUGCCUGCCAGUCAGGAAGACCCAUUUUGGACUUUAUAAAUGCUCUGACCUUAAAAGGAAUAUUGGAGGCAGGAGGAAACAGAGGAAGCAAGAAGAAUUUCCUGGAAGGUAAUUAUUGUAAUAUAAGCAUACUUCGGAGAUAUUGCAGGUUCCGUUCCAGACCACUGCAACAGUGAAUAUCUCAAUCAACAUCUUCACCAGGAGUAGAUUUUAUCUUAAGAAGCCACUUUCUUUGCUCAUCCAGAAGCUACAACUCCUCAUCAUGAGAUUUCAGCAGUUCAGUUCCAUCUUCAGGCCCUAUUUUUAGUUCUCUUUAGUUCUCUUGCUAUUUCCACGACAUCUGCAAUGACUUCCUCAACUGAAGUCUUGAACCCCUCAAAGUAAUCCAUGAAGGAAGAUGACCACGGCCCCUCUGUUCCCUCGCCUGUGUGCCAAAUGGAUCCACAGCUAGAGACAAGCUCCUUCCCUUUGAACGGUGGGAAGCAGGCCAAGAUGUUUUAAAGACAGAUGGCAUCAGAUGCAGAGAAGCAAGCUGGAACUCGGAGCACAGCUGCCUUAUUUACUUACCUACUGGCUGCAUUUCUGAGAACCAGUUUUAUUCCUGUUCAAAGGAAGCCAGGCAGAGUUGGGAAAAUAUUUUCCUAGCCAGCUCCUUAGCACCACUGUCUGAGGGAAACCAUCUGGCCAAGAUGCCCUUCAAGUGAGUAAAUGCAGUAUUGCCCUCUCCCUGCACAGGGGAGGGGGCAUGCACCAGACAGGGAAAAUGGCAGGCUCCUGGGGUGGGCUGAAGCUGUGGUUCUUCCCACUGACCCUCCUGGGCCCCUGGAGUCCAGUGAUGUGCUGGUAAAGGUUUAACAAUCAGCUGUCUGGGAGGUAGGGGUGGGGCAUUGCCUUGCAGUGUUUGCUGAUUUCCAUGGCCUGUUUGGAACUACCAAAGUGAAGUCACUGAGUGUGGGGUUAGGAGGAGAUGCCCAGGAGUACCCCAUUUCAGAGUAUUUCUACCACGUAGAUGCAGUAGGGGGUAUGUAACCUCAAGAGUGAAGAUACUAAUCAAUACAGUAAAAUAAUUAGCAAGUGAUGAGUUUUGAGUACUUAUUACUUUUAUUUUUAAUGUGAUAUAAUUUUAAGUUUAUAUAAUUUAUUUUCAAAUGACAUAUGCCUUUAACAACUGGCUCUCAGAGUUCUGGAAAAUUUCACUGUCAGUUCUUGCAAGGCAGGAUGGGCUGGCUCCGGAGCACUGCUGCUGGAGUCCCUCUUUUACUUAGAGUCAGAGAAUAAAUAUGCCAGUGUUAAGAUCACUCCCUUUAGAAGCUCAGGGCGUAUCAUGGGAGAUUUAGUGAGGGCUCUACUUCCUUAAGGAGAUUUUGUCUUCAGAAGGCAGAAUAGACACCUGCUUGGGAAAGAACAGAGGUUGAAAAACACCAUGUAUGGGUUUUUUUUUUUUUUUUUUUCGGUUCUACCCACCAUGUGUACUUGACCAAGACAGCACAGCACACAAGUUGCAGGUUCUGCCUUGCCUGGGCAGCUCCUGACUGUAUAUGCUUCAGCUUAUAGAGUCAAAACAACUUGGCAACAUCUAGCUUUAUUCCUCCGGGACCCUUGUGCUCUAAGGAUAGUUCUCUGGCUGCAGUACCCUGGCAUUUUCCAGGUCUCAAGCUCUAGCCUCUUUACCAGUUUAGCAGGAUGGUGCUAGUGGGUCUGUGGCCAUAAGAUUUUCCAUUAUUUCCUACAGCUUGUCUAGAGGAGUUGGGAUAUUUCUUGUCUCCCAGAACUCUCUCAUGGGAAAAAUUCUUACAUGAGAGACAGAACACUUUACCCAACUGGAGUCAGGGAAAGUUACACAUCUGUCCUGACCUCUGAGCUUCUGAAAAAUCACUGAGCUUUAUCAAAAGCACACAGGUCCAGAAGUGGAAAUUUAUAAGACAAAAGAAAAUAGGAAAUGAAAGUUGGAGGGGAAACCCUCUUAGUGUUGUUGCAAUGCCAAGAACUGGGGGAGGGUUUACGGCUCUAGUAGUUUGCUGAAGGAUGAACAGGACAUGCCAGGGACCAGAGGGUCAGAACAACAGAUAAUCAGAAAUGAAGAGGUCAAUGGGUGGGAAAGUAGGAGUGAAUGGUGUUGAUAGAUUUGUUUCUACCAUUUUAGGGUUGUUCUGUAAUGGCUGCCUAUAGUCACAAUCACGCCCACAAUUCUUCCUACUCAUUAAGACCUCUGCUACCCUAGCCCUGAAAUUUUCCUUCAUCCCCUCCUGUCUUCACUUCCUUCCUAACCCAGUAUAGAUUCUAUGGCCCUUCAUAACCACCCCUUUGGGCAUGUCCUGGUCUUCCUCCAACAUACCUUCCCAGCAAAACCCUAACCUUAUGUAGAUCCAGCUCUCUGCUCAUUCUAUACCAUUCCAAGAAAGCAAACGUGGCCAGAGGAAAACCGCAACCGUGUGGACUGAUUCUACCCUGAAUACAAGAUGAUGCAUCUCUAACGAGGCUCAGAACUGCCUGGAAGUCCAGCUACACUUCCCUAGUCAAUCCACGCCCUCAAUCCCCAGCUACAGUGGACCAACAGCCCUUACUCCUAUUGAGGCAGCUCCCCCACCCCCAUCCCCACUUAAACAUUGGAUCGAUCCCAUCUCCUGUCUACUUGGGACCUUUGGUCCUGCUGAUAUCCCCUCUCCCUCUUGAAACAUCACUUAUUUCCUUUCUACUGAAUCAAAACUCCAAAUUUCUUAUGACAUUUAAACUUCUCCUCUCUCUCAGCCUUUGUCUGCAUCAGGCCAGGAGCUGCAGUGGGGAAUAAUGGAUGGUGAUGAACUUCAUCUGUUUCCCUGCUGUGUACAUCUCCUCCUCCUCCCCUUCUCACUAGGCUGCCUCUUGUCCUCUGGGGCUGCUGCUCUGGGAGAGGGAGGAGAUGCAAAGAGCAGGAAAGGUCUUGCUCGGCUGGUACUGUUGUAGGAUAGCACAGAAUUUUCUGGCCUUGGCAGGUGUUUAAAGCUGACUUUCUUCUCUUGGGUCUUACAUAGGUUUCUUACACAGGGGUUGGGCUUCUCUGCUGGCAGCUUCCUUGAUACUGACCCUGCCUUUCCUCCAGCUCUCCAUUCAUCACCCCUCCCUUAGCGCCUAUGCAUCCUUUAGUCCACACCAUACAGACUCUUGUGGGGACCCCAUUGUUCCUCCAGGCAGGCUAUAUGAACAGCAUCCCCAGGCCACCAUCCCUUGCUGGGCUCUCAUCAGCAUUUUGGUCCUACUGUCAUGGGAUUACGGCUACUUCCCAACACAACAGUCUUUACUUGGCUAUGCCCAGGCAGAUAACCAGCCACAGGUUCUUGCCUUCAUUACCUUUGCAGGCGUGGGUCCAGCUCCAGUCGCUUAUUUCUAUUAUGGUCGCCAAGUGGUUCCUGAAAGCCCCAAUCACUUGUUUUCAUGUGAAGGGCAGGCUUCUUCCUCAGAACAUUUCUCCAUCUUUCUCCAAGGAAAUCAAGUUCUGUCUCUCUCCACUUACUCCCCACUUUCCAUCUCAAUCUUUAACACCUGUAAGUGCUUGAUGUGCUCAGGGUUGUAAAGUGGGUUCUUCAAUAUCUCAGUUGUGUGUCCCUUGUAGAUGGUUUAGCCCUCACUCUGGAAUGUGGGCUCAUUUUGCACCUAUCAGUUUGCGCCAAGCCUUUGGGCUCUCCUUCAAAACUGAGGAAGAAAGAGUUGUGUAUUAGCAUCUUGUUUCACACAUCCCUAUCCACCCAUGGCUAUCUCCACAACCCCCAAAUUUGGUUGGCUUCUUCACCAAAUACUUCUCUCUAGGAAUGCUCCUCCAGCACCCCUGACUCAUUGAGCCCAGGCUGGAGUGUAGUGGCGUGAUCUUGGCUCACUGCAGCCUCUGCCUCCCGGGUUCAAGCCAUUGUCCUGCCUCAGCUUCCUGAGUAGCUGGAAUUACAGGUGUGCACCACCACGCCUGGCUAAUUUUUGUAUUUUUAGUAGAGAUGGGGUUUCACCAUGUUGGCCUGGCUGGUCUUGAACUCCUGACCUCACACAAUCCACCCGCCUCGGCCUCCUAAGUGCUGGAAUUACAGGUGUGAGCCACUGUCCCCAGCCCUCUUCCUGACUUUAAAGUUUUCGUUGUAAUUUUCUUUUCUUCUCUUCCUCUGUUUUUUUUUUAAAUUAAUAUUUUAUUUUAUGAUUUGUUUAUGUAAUAG